UACGUAGGGUGCGAGCGUUUGUCCGGAAUUACUGGGCGUAAAGAGCUCGUAGGUGGUUUGUCGCGUUGUUCGUGAAAACUCACAGCUCAACUGUGGGCGUGCGGGCGAUACGGGCAGACUGGAGUACUGCAGGGGAGACUGGAAUUCCUGGUGUAGCGGUGGAAUGCGCAGAUAUCAGGAGGAACACCGGUGGCGAAGGCGGGUCUCUGGGCCGAUACUGACGCUGGAGGAGCGAAAGCGUGGGGAGCGAACAGG
rnacentral:rRNA from 1 species